CUGGCCUCGAAUCGGGCGGGAUUACCCGCUGAACUUAAGCAUAUCAAUAAG
rnacentral:rRNA from 1 species